rnacentral:snRNA from 1 species
GUCCUGGCUUUGGCAACACGUAUACUGAAAUUGGAAUCAUAGAAUGAAGAUCAGCAUGGCCCCUGCACAAGCAUGACAUGCAAAUCUGUAAGCAUUCAUAUUUACAA